AUUUCUUUUUAACCCAAUUAUCACUCUGUAGUCUGUUUUUUAGAUUCAAAAAUAUUGUUUUAUCUAUCCUUUUAUUGAUUCCUAAUUUUAUUGUAUAUAAUCAAAUAAGCUUCAUUUAUAUAUUUAUAUCAUUCCAUUCCACAAAAUUUCAAGGUAUAUUAUAAUGGCAUAUGAAGUGUAAUGAUAUAGAAAAAUGUGAAUUAAAAAUUAGGUCAUUGGAAAAUGUGUUAUAAGUUCAACAUAUACCACAUUGUCUGUUUAGGUACUGUGAGCCACGCUUAUCAAUUCUGGGGA
rnacentral:lncRNA from 1 species